GUCUAUUUGAAGAUAUAAAAAGUUUAACCUGCCCACUGAUUAAGUAAAAUUAAAUGGCCGCGGUAUCUUGACCGUGCAAAGGUAGCAUAAUCGUUAGUUUUUUAAUUGGAAUCUUGUAUGAAUGGUUGGACAAAAGAAAAUCUGUCUCUGUGUUAAUUAUUGAAUUUAACUUUUAAGUGAAAAGGCUUAAAUAAAUUAAAGGGACGAUAAGACCCUAUAAAGCUUAAUAUAUGAUAUUACUUAGUUAAAUUUUAAAUUAUAAAAACUUAGUGAUCAAGUUUAUUUUAUUGGGGCGAUAAAAGUAAAAUUGUUACUAACUGCUUAAAUUUUUAUACACUUAUAAAUGUCUACAGUUUUAAAUGAUCCUAAAUAAAGAUUAAAAGUUUAAGUUACUUUAGGGAUAACAGCGUUAUUUUUCUUAAGAGUACUUAUCGAAAGAAAAGUUUGCGACCUCGAUGUUGAAUUAAAAUGUCUUUAUAAUUGCAGCAGUUAUAAAAGUAGGUCUGUUCGACCUUUAAAAUUUUACAUGAUUUGAGUUCAAACCGGCGUGAG
rnacentral:rRNA from 1 species